UCCAGUGGUAGUCAGCUGUCCAGAGCAGUACAGUGCCUGUGAUAGUGUUACACUGCUGGGAGAUAAAAGUCAAUCAUUUCUUCUGGCUGUUGUCACUGUUCAGGAGAUGGCUAAUGCCAGAAAGAAGUGGUAUUGUGCUUCCCUGAAAGCGUGCUAAGGCUACGCUUUCCUCCUUUAGCGCUGGUGUGGAAGGAUACAUA